GUGGGGAAUAUUGGACAAUGGGGGGAACCCUGAUCCAGCCAUGCCGCGUGUGUGAAGAAGGCCUUUUGGUUGUAAAGCACUUUAAGCGAGGAGGAGGCUACCGAGAUUAAUACUCUUGGAUAGUGGACGUUACUCGCAGAAUAAGCACCGGCUAACUCUGUGCCAGCAGCCGCGGUAAUAAAGAGGGUGCAAGCGUUAAUCGGAUUUACUGGGCGUAAAGCGCGCGUAAGUGGCCAAUUAAGUCAAAUGUGAAAUCCCCGAGCUUAACUUGGGAAUUGCAUUCGAUACUGGUUGGCUAGAGUAUGGGAGAGGAUGGUAGAAGUCCAGGUGUAGCGGUGAAAUGCGUAGAGAUCUGGAUGAAUACCGAUGGCGAAGGCAGCCAUCUGGCCUAAUACUGACACUGAGGUGCGAAAGCAUGGGGAGCAAACAGGAUUAGAUACCCGAGUAGUCC
rnacentral:rRNA from 1 species